AUGAGUUUCCACUCUUUCAGCUUUAUAUUAUACCCUUCAAACGACUAUAACUACAUUGAUGAGCAAGACAAAAAAGUAAAAGAAGAAGAAGAAGAAGAGGAGAUUAACAAUGUUACUAUGGAUGAUGAUUUUGAAGAAGAAAAUAUGGGCAACACUCAAGAGAAUGUUGUUGUUAAUGAUGAUGAUGAGGCUUUUGUAGAAAAUGAGAAUGAGAAAGUUGGGGUUUGUGGUUGA